UCUGUAAUUCUGGGCCGUGUUCCGGAAGCCUCGUAAGACAAAAGCGAACGAGAGGCGGAAAAAAGGAAGACGCUUCCUGAAGUUGGGGAUGCUGGACUAGUUUUCAUACUAGAUCCCCUCGUGGCAGCAUUAAGGAACUUCACAUUCUUCUCACACUAUUCAUGGAAAGUUCCUGGAACUCCCACAGCAGCAAGAAAACUUCGCUUGUAGGAGUCCUUAGCACAUCUGUAAAGUUUUAUUGGCCAAAAUGUGAUACAUCUCCAUUUCUGGAUCAGUCACUGUGGUCAAGUGCAAGACGCUCUACAGGACUCAACCUGGGGAUGAGGUCUGUCUACUCCAUCCAUAUGGUCACUUUAUACUGAGGUUGGGGUUGCUGCUUUUUAAGAGAUGAAAAGAUCCAAGGUGUGACACAGAAUGGAUGACUGGAGUGGAAAAAAUGAAAAUGUCAUUGGAAUAUGGAAGUAAAGAAACUGAGAAGCUGAGAGUUUUUGCAUCAUCCAGUCAGUGUUUCUCAAUCGGGAAAGAAUUUGCCUCCCAGAGGACAUUUGGCAAUGUCUGGAGCUACUUCUGUUUGUCACAAUUAGGGUAAGGGUGCCACUGGCAUCUAGUAGGGGGAGGUCUGGGAUGCUGCUAAACAGCCUACAAUGCACAAGACAUGCUUCCACUAUUAAAAAAAAAUUAUCUGGCCCAAAAUGUCAUAGUGCCAGGAUAUUAUAAAUAUAGGCAAAGGUGUUCAGAGGUUUAAAACUGAACAAGAGGACAUCAGUAAAAGUUCAGUGUUGCAGAAUGGGUUAAGAUUGGAACAUGAAAACAAAAGUUUUUGUCCCAAGAUCAGGAGCAGAUGAGGUCUAGUGGUUGGAAAGCAAGACUGGAAAUGACACCUUGGACUAAGGAUAUUUGGGCAAGCCCACAUAACAGCAUUUGAAUAUGCAACAGUUAGAGCUGGGACAAUGAAAGCUUGAUUUUGGUCUUGGCAAAUAAGGGCUAGAGAGUGUGGAGCUGUGGCCAGAGUCAAUUCUGUGGGGACAAGUAGAAAAGGGUUUGGAUCUUAGCUUGUGCCUAUACUAGCUGAGCAACUCAUUUUACCUUGUAGGGUUUCCUUCCUUUAAGGUGGGAAAACUUGUUAAAAGGAUUAGAAAUGUAUGUUAAAUACCCAGGACAUAAAUGCUCAGUAAAUGAUAUUGAACAUUAUUGAGAUACUGUUGAAGCUCUAAUUAUACCUCUCUUUCCAUGAUUGUCUUUGCCCCCUUUUGGAAAAUUAGUCAGGGUACAACUAUAUUGCAUAACAUGGAAAAUAGAAAAACAUAUGAACUGUGGGAUGGGAAAGGAAAAGUGAACGACAACAGACAAAACAUUUGCAAGACAUCCUUAGGCAAAAUAUUGAAAGCUGAGUCAGAAUCACCAAGAUCUCUGAACAACAUUCCUCUGUUAGGAAGAGAAAGCAGAUAUUUCCAUGAGAAUGUGAGGGGGAUGAGGAGAGUGGAGUAUGCUGCUGUGAUCAAUUAUCCAAA
rnacentral:lncRNA from 1 species